GGUUACCUGAAGCCAGGAGUUCGAGAUCAAUCUGGCCAACAUGGUGAAACCCUGUCUCUACUAAAAAUACAAAAAUGAGCCGGGUGGGUGCCUGUAAUUCUAGCUACUCGGGAGGCUGUGGCAUGAGAAUCACUUGAACCCGGGAGGUGGAGGUUGUGGUGAGCUGAGAAAAAUAUUAGAGAUCUAUGUUAAUGAAAAUUAAAUUCAUUACAAUGAAUGAAAUAUAGUUUCCAGGAAACUUCAAGAAAAUCAAACAUUUUGCAAUAGGACUAUUUUUGAAAAGAAAUUUUAAAACUAUCAUUUUCACAAGAGGUUCUUCAGUGAUUUAGAAUCUCAAACCGUCAAGUCUAAGAGAUAUUAUGCUUUAAAGACAAUGCAGUAUUACUGAGUUCUUGAAAGAAAUGCUAUUACCAAUAUGAGCACAAGUUGCCUUAAUUUUUAAUUUUUUUUCUAAUUAAAGGCACCUACAUACAUUUUUAAAAAUUUUUCUUCAGAAAGAGCAAGAGGAGUCAGGGUAGAUUAAAAAAAUAUUUCAGGCUGGGCACAGUGGCUCAUGCCUGUAAUCCCAGCACUCUGGGAGGCCGAGGCGGGCGGAUCACCCGAGGUCAGGAGUUCCAGACCAGCCUGAUCAACAUGGAGAAACCCUGUCUCUACUAAAAAUACAAAAUUAGCUGGGUGUGGU
rnacentral:lncRNA from 1 species